rnacentral:rRNA from 1 species
AUUGAACGCUGGCGGCAGGCCUAACACAUGCAAGUCGAACGAGUGGCGGACGGGUGAGUAAUGUCAGGGAAACUGCCCGAUGGAGGGGGAUAACUACUGGAAACGGUAGCUAAUACCGCAUACCAUCGGAUGUGCCCAGAUGGGAUUAGCUAGUAGGUGGGGUAACGGCAAACCUAGGCGACGAUCCCUAGCUGGGGUGAGAGGAUGACCAGCCACACUAGAACUGAGAAACGAUCCAGACUCCUACGGGAGGCAGCAGUGGGGGAUAUUGGACAAUGGACGCAAGCCUGAUACAGCCAUGCCGCGUGUAUGAAGGAGGCCUUCGGGUUGUAAAGUACUUUCAGCGAGGAGGCGGUACUCGCAGAAGAAGCAUCGGCUAACUCCGUGCCAGCAGCCGCGGUAAUAC